GAUCCGUAACUUUGGGAUAAGGAUUUGCUUUGAGAACUGAGCCGGUCGGGCCGGGCACCUGAAACAGGAACGGCAAUGCACCGGGACUGGGAGGGGAUCGCUGUUCACGCGGCGCGACCAAGCCCGGACCAGGGUAAAGCCCUUCCUGUAGAAAGCCUCAACUGCGCGGCGUCUGAGGGCUUAGUGCAAGAAACACUAUGCUUCAGCCGGCAAAAAAAAAAAAAGUCAACUCAGAACUGGCAC
rnacentral:rRNA from 1 species